UUUUGGUUGUAAAUGUUGAACACAUGCACGGCAUGGCGACGUUGACUGCCGUUAUCAUAUCUCUUCAAGGGGUUUUGACAGGUUAUUAUAAUGCUUCGAAGAGUUAAGGUGGAUGAAAUGCAUGUGAAAUAUUUAUAAGGCUCUAAUUUGUGCUGUUAUUGUUUAAAGGACAUAGAGUAAGUGGUUGAGAACUACAAAAAGGGUGGGUUAUAAGCUCUUGCUGCAGUGGCCUUCAAGAAGUUUCCACAGAGCAACAGAGGGGGCCUUCUCUGCAGGAGGAGAGACAGUAACAAGGUGUGACGUGAGUUACCUCCUUGAAGUCUCCUUGGUCGAUGUACUCUUCCCCCUGAUGAGACAAAGAUGUCGGUCCAUCCUUCAAAGAACUCAGCAGUGAACUGUUGUGCAAAGUUCUGGUCGAUGUACUCUGCCCCUGAUGAAAAGAAGAUGUCCUUCCAUCCUUCAAAGAACUCAGAAGUGAACUGUGGUGCAAAAUCUUGGUUUCCAGAUUUUAUCUUUCCCUGCCUCGGUGUUCAUCCUGUUCAAGAAGUUUCUCCAGAGCAACAGAGGGGGGCUUCUCUGCAGGU